AUCCAGCUGACGAGUCCCAAAUAGGACAAAACACACAUCCUAUAU
rfam:Schistosoma mansoni, Puerto Rico, WGS project CABG01000000 data, contig: 0169